UACAGAGGUCUCAAGCGUGGUUCGGAUUCAUUGGGCGUAAAGGGUGCGUAGGCGGCGCGGUAAGUCGGGUGUGAAAUCUCGGGGCUUAACUCCGAAACUGCAUUCGAUACUGCCGUGCUUGAGGACUGGAGAGGAGACUGGAAUUUACGGUGUAGCGGUGAAAUGCGUAGAUAUCGUAAGGAAGACCAGUGGCGAAGGCGGGUCUCUGGACAGUUCCUGACGCUGAGGCACGAAGGCCAGGGGAGCAAACGGG
rnacentral:rRNA from 1 species